UACGUAGGGGGCUAGCGUUGUCCGGAAUCAUUGGGCGUAAAGAGCGCGUAGGCGGCUAGAUAAGUCCGGUGUGAAAGUCACAGGCUCAACCUGUGAAUGCCGCUGGAAACUGUCUGGCUAGAGUCCGGAAGGGGCGAGUGGAAUUCCUGGUGUAGCGGUGAAAUGCGCAGAUAUCAAGAGGAACACCUGAGGUGAAGACGGGUUGCUGGGCUGACACUGACGCUGAGGCGCGAAAGCUAGGGUAGCAAACGGG
rnacentral:rRNA from 1 species